AAAUACCGAUGCGGGGACCCUACGGGGUGCCGCGUUCGGAAUGAGUACGAUUCGAACCACCUAACGAGGAACGAUCGGAGGGCAAGUCUGGUGCCAGCAGCCGCGGUAAUUCCAGCUCCAAUAGCGUACGUUAAAGUUGCUGCAGUUAAAAAGCUCGUAGUUGAACGUUCGGGUUCCGCGGGACGGGGCCGCCCCGCGAGGGACGGCGCCGCCCCCGGGGGCUCGUGAUAUCUUAUCUCGCCGCCCGUCGCGAGGCGGACGGAGGGAUGGAUGAGGUUACCUGGAAAAAAUCGGGGCGAUCUAGGCGGGCGAACCUCGCCAACGAACGAUCGGACAUGGGAUAACGGAAGAGGGCGUCGGCUCGACUUCGUCGGUUCCUCGGGCCGAGGCACGUACGGUGAAUAGGGACGGUCGGGGCCGCCCGUACCGGGUCGUGAGAGGUGAAAUUCUAGGAUCGACCCCGAGACGAACUGCCGCGAAAGCAUUCGGCAAGGAC
rnacentral:rRNA from 1 species